GACGAACGCUGGCGGCGUGCUUAACACAUGCAAGUCGAACGGAAAGGCCCUGCUUUUGUGGGGUGCUCGAGUGGCGAACGGGUGAGUAACACGUGAGUAACCUGCCCUUGACUUUGGGAUAACUUCAGGAAACUGGGGCUAAUACCGGAUAGGAGCUCCUGCUGCAUGGUGGGGGUUGGAAAGUUUCGGCGGUUGGGGAUGGACUCGCGGCUUAUCAGCUUGUUGGUGGGGUAGUGGCUUACCAAGGCUUUGACGGGUAGCCGGCCUGAGAGGGUGACCGGCCACAUUGGGACUGGGAUACGGCCCAGCCUCCUACGGGAGGCAGCAGUGGGGAAUAUUGCACAAUGGGCGGAAGCCUGAUGCAGCACCGCCGCGUGCGGGAUGACGGCCUUCGGGUUGUAAACCGCUUUCGCCUGUGACGAAGCGUGAGUGACGGUAAUGGGUAAAGAAGCACCGGCUAACUACGUG
rnacentral:rRNA from 1 species